CAGAGGGGGCAAGCGUUGUUCGGAGUUACUGGGCGUAAAGGGCGCGUAGGCGGCCUGCUAAGUCGAACGUGAAAUCCCCGGGCUCAACCCGGGAACUGCGUCCGAUACUGGCAGGCUUGAAUCCGGGAGAGGGAUGUGGAAUUCCAGGUGUAGCGGUGAAAUGCGUAGAUAUCUGGAGGAACACCGGUGGCGAAGGCGGCAUCCUGGACCGGUAUUGACGCUGAUGCGCGAAAGCCAGGGGAGCAAACGGGAUUAGAUACCCCGGUAGUCCUGGCCCUAAACGAUGAAUGCUUGGUGUGGCGGGUAUCGAUCCCUGCCGUGCCGAAGCUAACGCAUUAAGCAUUCCGCCUGGGGAGUACGGUCGCAAGGCUG
rnacentral:rRNA from 1 species